CCUUACCUCUCUCAGCCUUCCCAGAACUGGAGAGAGUCAGGGCCUGGCUCUGGACUAGGCUUUGGCUUAAGGGAAUGUUGUGGUUCAUUUGAUCUUCUAUCCAGACCACUCAGACUUUCUCCAUCUCAGCAAUGGUGUUAACACAAGCUGAACAAAAAAGAGCAAAUAUAAAAUUCAGUCUAUUACCACUCCGCGUGAGGUGUUCCCAGGACUUGGGGACCAUCACACAGUAAACAGGUGAGAGCAAGUGCCAAUGGGAGUAAAUACCGCAUGUCUCUAAAUUUAAACCAAACACCUAUUAAGAGCUCUGCUUUGAUCUUUGUUGGAGGAAACACAAAGAUGCCGGAUAGCCAGAAUAAAUGAAUGGAUCAAGAAGAUGUGGUAUAUAUACACAAUGUAAUACUAUGCAGCCAUCAAAAGAAAUGAAAUCUUGCCAUUUGCGACAACAUGGAUGGAACUAGAGCGUAUCAUGCUUAGCGAAAUAAGUCAAGCGGAGAAAGACAACUGUCAUAUGAUCUCCCUGAUAUGAGGAAGUGGUGAUGCAACAUGGGGGUUUAAGUGGGUAGAAGAAGAAUUUAUAUGCCAUUUUAAUGGCAAGAUGAGGCAAAGGUAAA